UUGAGGGGGAGCUUUAAAUACUCAAUCUCUUUAUUGAAAAUUAUCUUCAAACUCUAAACUCUCAAAUGGAAUGAUUAAUUAAGAGGGAGAAAGAAAAUUUCAGAGGAAGAGAUCAUAUAGAACUUAAUCGUAUAAAUUCGCAUCUAAAGAUGAGACAAAAAAUACUAAAUGUAAAGUGGUAUUAAACUUUGUGCUUCAUUGAAUAUCUUUUGAAAGUUGGAUUUCCAUCUAUAUUCAUCGGUAAAUCAUUUAUUUCUGAAAAUUAAUGAAAAAGGAUUCCAUCUGUCUUAGUAUCGAAAAUUCAUCUUGGAAUCUACUUAUGAGUUCUUAUUGGCUUGCACUUUAGUGUUUCAAUCCUGAGCCAAUUCAUUUUAAUUGAUUUUGAUGCUAUGAUCUUUAAAGGAGUAAAAGAAAGUCUUUAAGAGAGCUUUAAAAGAACUUUCAAAGCCCUGAAUUUUAUAUAUCCUACAUUGCAUAAAUUCAUAUUUUGGUAUCUAUGCUCCAAUACUUUUAUAUCAUGAAA
rnacentral:lncRNA from 1 species